rnacentral:rRNA from 1 species
GAUUGGUUACCUUGUUACGACUUCACCCCAGUCAUGAGUCACUCCGUGGUAAGCGUCCUCCUUACGGUUAGACUACCUACUUCUGGAGCAACAAACUCCCAUGGUGUGACGGGCGGUGUGUACAAGGCCCGGGAACGUAUUCACCGCGGCAUUCUGAUCCGCGAUUACUAGCGAUUCCGACUUCAUGGAGUCGAGUUGCAGACUGCAAUCCGGACUACGAUUGGCUUUAUGAGAUUAGCAUCACAUCGCUGUGUAGGCAACCCUUUGUACCAACCAUUGUAGCACGUGUGUAGCCCUGGUCGUAAGGGCCAUGAUGACUUGACGUCGUCCCCGCCUUCCUCCAGUUUGUCACUGGCAGUAUCCUUAAAGUGCCCACCC